rnacentral:rRNA from 1 species
AGCGAACGCUGGCGGCAGGCCUAACACAUGCAAGUCGAACGAUCCCUUCGGGGAUAGUGGCGCACGGGUGCGUAACGCGUGGGAAUCUGCCCUUGGGUUCGGAAUAACGUUUGGAAACGAACGCUAAUACCGGAUGAUGACGAAAGUCCAAAGAUUUAUCGCCCAAGGAUGAGCCCGCGUAGGAUUAGCUAGUUGGUAAGGUAAAGGCUUACCAAGGCGACGAUCCUUAGCUGGUCUGAGAGGAUGAUCAGCCACACUGGGACUGAGACACGGCCCAGACUCCUACGGGAGGCAGCAGUAGGGAAUAUUGGACAAUGGGGGCAACCCUGAUCCAGCAAUGCCGCGUGAGUGAUGUAGGCCUUAGGGUUGUAAAGCUCUUUUACCCGGGAUGAUAAUGACAGUACCGGGAGAAUAAGCCCCGGCUAACUCCGUGCCAGCAGCCGCCGUAAGAC